rnacentral:rRNA from 1 species
UACGUAGGGUGCGAGCGUUACUCGGAAUUACUGGGCGUAAAGCGUGCGCAGGCGGUUUUGUAAGCCAGAUGUGAAAUCCCCGGGCUUAACCUGGGAAUGGCAUUUGGGACUGCAAGGCUGGAGUGUGGCAGAGGAGACUGGAAUUCCCGGUGUAGCAGUGAAAUGCGUAGAUAUCGGGAGGAAUACCGAUGGCGAAGGCAGGUCUCUGGGCUGACACUGACGCUCAUGCACGAAAGCGUGGGGAGCAAACAGG